rnacentral:rRNA from 1 species
CAAGUCGAACGGCAGCACGGGAGCUUGCUCCUGGUGGCGAGUGGCGAACGGGUGAGUAAAGCAUCGGAACGUACCUUGUCGAGGGGGAUAACGCAGCGAAAGUUGUGCUAAUACCGCAUACGUCCUGAGGGAGAAAGCGGGGGACCGCAAGGCCUCGCGCGAUGAGAGCGGCCGAUGUCAGAUUAGCUAGUUGGUGAGGUAAAGGCUCACCAAGGCGACGAUCUGUAGCGGGUCUGAGAGGAUGAUCCGCCACACUGGGACUGAGACACGGCCCAGACUCCUACGGGAGGCAGCAGUGGGGAAUUUUGGACAAUGGGGGAAACCCUGAUCCAGCCAUGCCGCGUGAGUGAAGAAGGCCUUCGGGUUGUAAAGCUCUUUCGGCCGGGAAAAAAUUGCACGGAUGAACAGUCUGUGUAGAUGAUGGUACCGGACUAAGAAGCACCGGCUAACUACGUGCCAGCAGCCGCGG